AUGGCAUGUCCCAAGCCAUUCCGCUUGCUGCUUCUGCUCCUACAACUCCAGCUCAUUGCCGUGAACUCGCUUCACCGUCCGGAGGCUACGUUCACUGAUCACACCCCGGCGUCGCCGGACCAGGCGUCAGCGCUGCUCUGGCUGAAACAAUCCUUCUCCGCCACAAAUCACUCCACCGCCGCCUUCCUUUCAUGGAAGGCCGGCUGGGACUGCUGCCGCUGGGAAGGCGUCCGCUGCCGUGGCGCCACCGGCCGCGUCGCCUCGCUUAACUUGGGCGAUCGCGGCCUGGAGAGUCCCAACCUCGACCUCUUGCUCUUCGAGCUAAGCUCGCUCAGGUAUCUCAACCUAGCCAGAAACGACUUCCGUAUGUCCGAGAUACCGUCCGCCGGGUUUGAGCGGCUCACCAAGCUCACCCACCUCAACCUCUCAGCCACCAACUUCUCAGGCCAGUCUUUGUCGGUGAUUGAUCUGCAGCACAAUCAUUUGACCGGCCCAUUUCCAGAGUUCUUUGUUGAAUUAUCCUCUCUGAGUGUUCUCCAACUCAGUUAUAAUGACCUUCACGGUUGGGUCCCUCCGUCUAUCUUUCAGCACAAGAGAUUGGUGACUAUUGAUCUUCACCAAAUUCCUGGCCUAUCUGGUACUCUACCAAAUUUCUCAGCUGAUAGUAAUCUUGAGAAUUUGCUCGUCGGCAACACCAAUUUCUCCGGUUCAAUUCCAAGUUCCAUCAGCAAUCUCAAAUCCUUGAAGAAGUUAAGCCUUGGUGCGCAGGGUUUUGUUGGUGAUCUUCCCUCGUCAAUCAGUGAGCUCAAAUUCUUGAGUUCAUUGCAGGUCUCUGGCUUAGAAGUAGUAGGAUCUAUGCCACCAUGGAUCACAAACUUAACUUCCUUGGAGGUUCUUGAGCUCUCCCUUUGUGGCUUGCAUGGACCAGUACCUUCUUCCAUAUGUGAGUUGUCGAAACUGAGAAUAUUGUCACUUUAUAGUUGUAACUUUUCAGGGAAAAUACCUCCAUCAUCUUGCAACAUAAGUAAAUUCCCCAAUGUAUUGAAGCAUUUAGCUGGGAUUUAUGUGAUUGACCUUUCAAACAACCAAAUUCAAGGGGUCGUGCCACAAUGGGCUUGGGAGACAUGGAGCAAUUCACACCUUUUCUAUCUAAACUUAUCGCACAAUAUAUUUACUAGUGUUGGCUAUGACAGCUUUCUCCCUUUGGGCCCAGUAGACGUGUUGGAUCUCAGCUUCAACAUGUUCAAGGGGCCUAUACCCAUACCAAGAUCCUCUGGCAGUGUGCUAGAUUACUCAUGCAACCAUUUUUCAUCCAUGCCACAUAAUAUUUCUACUCAACUUGGAAAAACUGCCAUUUUCAAGGCAUCAGGAAACCAACUGUCUCGGGAUAUUUUACCGUAUUUUUGUGGUACAAAGAUACAAUUUCUUGAUCUAUCUUACAAUAUCCUCCAUGCCACAAUACCCUCAUGUCUAAUGAAGGACACAAAAGCAUUGAGGGUUCUAAAUCUGAAAGAAAAUCAGCUUCAAGGCAAGUUGCCUCGUGAUGUCAACAACAAUUGCAUGCUUGAGGUGCUAGACUUCAGUGGAAAUUGGAUCCGAGGGCAAUUGCCUAGAUCUCUCUCUUCUUGCAAGAAGUUGGAGGUUCUUGAUGUGGGAAAUAAUCAGAUGAACGAUUCUUUUCCAUGUUGGAUGAGUGGACUUCCUGGUCUUCAAGUACUUGUCCUGAAUUCUAACGAAUUCUUUGGACAAGUGGCACCAUCUGUUGCUAAUAAUAAAAACAAUUGUCAAUUUCCAAGACUGCGAAUUCUGGAUCUCGCCUCCAACAACUUCUCGGGUACAUUGACAGAGGAAUGGCUUAUGAAUCUAAAGUCCAUGAUGGUCGAUACCGCUAACGGGAUAUCAACGAUGAAAUACACAUUUGAACUACAAAGGCUCCAACAAGAAUAUCAAGUCGCCACUACACUCACUUACAAAGGGUAUUCCAUCACACUUCCAAAGAUCGCAAGGACCCUUAUACACAUUGACGUGUCAAACAAUGCAUUCCAUGGUAGCACCCCCCAAGCUAUUGGGGAUCUUGUUUUGCUCAACAUUCUCAACAUGUCACACAACUCCUUGACUGAAGGAAUGCCAUCCCAGCUUGGUCACUUGAAGAAACUAGAGUCUUUGGAUUUAUCUUCGAACGAGCUUACGGGAGUGAUUCCACAAGAGUUAGCAUCUUUGGACUUCCUUGGGACACUAAACUUAUCCAACAAUAAACUGGAGGGAAGAAUACCAGGAUCACCUCAUUUUGAGUUAUUUUCCAACAGCUCAUUUACGAGGAACGAUGGGUUAUGCGGGCCUCCAUUAUCCAAAAAAUGCAGCAAUGAGACAACACCAUAUACGACGGUUCAUCCUUUGAAGGAAAACCCUGCAGACAUUGUGUUAUUUCUCUUGUCUGGAUUGGGAUUUGGUGUUGGGUUUGCAGUUGUAAUCAUAGGGACAUGGGUUCUCCCUAUUAGAAAGAGAAGUUGA
rnacentral:rRNA from 1 species